rnacentral:rRNA from 1 species
GAGUUUGAUCCUGGCUCAGGACGAACGCUGGCGGCGUGCCUAACACAUGCAAGUCGAGCGAAGUUUUUCGGAAUGAAACUUUCGGGUGGAAUGAAGAAUUAUCUUAGCGGCGAACGGGUGAGUAACGCGUGAGAAACCUGCCUUUCACAACGGGAUAGCCUCUGGAAACGGGGAUUAAUACCGUAUGAUAUUGUACCUUCACAUGAGGGAACAAUUAAAGCGUAAAGCGGUGAAAGAUGGUCUCGCGUCCUAUUAGUUAGUUGGUGAGGUAAUGGCUCACCAAGACAGCGAUAGGUAGCCGGCCUGAGAGGGUGAACGGCCACACUGGAACUGAGACACGGUCCAGACUCCUACGGGAGGCAGCAGUGGGGAAUAUUGCACAAUGGAGGAAACUCUGAUGCAGCGACGCCGCGUGAAUGAUGAAGGCCUUCGGGUCGUAAAAUUCUGUCCUUGGGGAAGAUAAUGACGGUACCCAAGGAGGAAGCCCCGGCUAACUACGUGCCAGCAGCCGCGGUAAUACGUAGGGGGCGAGCGUUGUCCGGAAUUAUUGGGCGUAAAGGGUUCGCAGGCGGUCUGAUAAGUCAGAUGUG